UAGGGAAUUUUCCACAAUGGGCGAAAGCCUGAUGGAGCAACGCCGCGUGCAGGAUGAAGGCUUUCGGGUCGUAAACUGCUUUUAAGAGUGAAGAUUAUGACGGUAGCUCUUGAAUAAGGAUCGGCUAACUCCGUGCCAGCAGCCGCGGUCAUACGGAGGAUCCAAGCGUUAUCCGGAAUUACUGGGCGUAAAGAGUUGCGUAGGUGGCACAGUAAGCAGGGCAUGAAAUCGUGUGGCUCAACCAUACAUCCAUGUUCUGAACUGCUGAGCUUGAGGACGAGAGAGGUAGAUGGAAUUCCCAGUGUAGGAGUGAAAUCCGUAGAUAUUGGGAGGAACACCGAUGGCGUAGGCAGUCUACUGGCUCGUUCCUGACACUAAGGCACGAAAGCGUGGGGAGCAAACGGG
rnacentral:rRNA from 1 species